rnacentral:rRNA from 1 species
GUGCCAGCCGCCGCGGUAAUACGGGGGAUGCGAGCGUUGUCCGGAUUCACUGGGCGUAAAGGGCGCGUAGGCGGCCCGGUCAGUCGGCGCUCUAAGUGCGGGGCUCAACCCCGUGAUGGCGCCGGGACGGCCGGGCUGGGGCGCGGCAGAGGGAGACGGAAUGCCGGGUGUAGUGGUGAAAUGCGUAGAGAUCCGGCGGAACACCGGUGGCGAAGGCGGUCUCCUGGGCCGAGGGCCGACGCUGAGGCGCGAGAGCGUGGGGAGCGAACCGGAUUAGAUACCCGUGUAGUCC